CAGGAUUCACCCAGCAAGGUCUGAUUCCUACAGCUCAGCUGUGUAGGAGCAACUACACCUCCUCACCCCCCUGCCCCCAGGCUCCAGGCUGAUAUUUAUUACCUCCCCUAACAGAGCGAGCUGCCUCCGUGCACAGCAGCAGCGCGCAGGGCCAUUCAUCUGCAGCUCAGCCACAGCAGGCACAACCUUUCCACUGAAUCCUAUCUCACAGCCCCGGCCAGGUGGAUUUCAUGUGUAUCCAAUCAGUUUUUUCUCCUUUGCCAAAUAACUUCAGAAUACCCAGCUGGCACAAAGAGCUAAUCUGCAAACAGCUGUUUCUGUGCACGUAUAAAGCUUGGGUAUGAGUUGUAGCAUGCUACGCUGGUUUUCAGCUAAGUUUUUUCAGCUGUUUAGGGACAGAAAGGAGCUAUUCUGACCGUCCAGCACAAGCCUCCUGAAGAGCCCAGCUGCUUCUCUGGGAGGAAGCCCCUCUGUUUGGGGAUGUUGGUUUGUGCUGACUGCAAGAGCCUGGAUAACUCAAUUCAUGGAACGAGUGUAAGAUGGGACGACACUUCAUUUCCAGCCUGCCUCUGAAUGAUUGUGUGGCCUAACACAAUCAGUUGGGCUGCCCGUGCAUAAUCUAUCAGAUGCGUCAGAGCGUUGCCAGUCAUCCCAGGUAUCUGUACAAACUCUGCUCUGCUGGGAAGCAGGCAGAAGAGCAGGGCUGCAGGACUGAAAUCGUGGUGGAACUGCAGCGUGCCCGCACCAGAUACAGACCAAGGCUUCAGAAUGCAGGUGAAGAGUCCUCGUACAAAUGUCUAGUGACUGCUCACACCUGAAUGGGAAGGGAGCAUCAUUCUGCGAAUAUGAACAGUACCGUACUGGCUUCUCUUCAUGCUACCACAAUCAAGACAACAAAUAAUUUGCAACUCCCAAUGGCUCACAAAUCAAGACAUAAACCUCCCUCACAUCAAGCAUUUGGCCUACAAAUCAUCACAGAGUAAACUGAGAAGUUCUUUCAAUUCUAGUUAAGAAGAAAGUUUCUUCAUACUGCUUUUAUUUUCAUUUUCAUUUGAGUCUGACUUAUCCUCUCCCUCUAGGCUUUAUUUUUUUUUUAAUGCAGUGGUCCAGUGGAUGCUCUUUCGUGGUUUCUAUGUGCCCUUCAAUAUUUUCCUCUUACACUUGAACCUCAGUCCAUUGGCUACCUUGAGCCCUGACCCAGUUUUGUACAGCACGGCGCACAGAACCCUUAUUCCUCAGUGACCACCACGGACUUGAACAGAGCCCUGCACACUGUUUACAUCGCAGCUAUGAGUCUCUCGGUACUAGUCUGCCAUACAGAAUGAAAGGAAGGGGUUAAGUUUUCUUGUUAGUUCUGAAAAAUAGGGUGCCAGUGUGAGCCAAAAUUAAAGUGAGAAAGAACCAGAACGCAGUUGUUUAGGACAUACAUUUUCUAUAGAUCUCCCAUUGCCUUUUCCCUUCAAAAUCCCACUUGGUUUCUAACAUAUAUUACAGUUGUUAUACCAUUACAUAGAAUUCUAAUUAAGAACAUUCAAGUAACAUCAUAAAAUCUGCUACACCAGAAACCACGAUUCUCCCUGUAAAUAUGUGCCUCUUAGCGCUACAAUAAUCCAUGCAAAAAAAGAAAAAAUGCCAGACCCUAAUCAGCCCACUGCAGGGAUAGGUCAUGAACACAUUUAUCUUUCCUCUCACAAGCCUCCCCUGGAUAAAGGAAAUGCCCUAAUACUCAAGGCAUCUUGGACACCAGAUGGCUGAUUAUUAGACAUUUUAUGAAGAGGAAGGAAGUAAAGAGAAACAGCCUGAAUUUUCAUGGUACUGUAGGGACAGUGGAAAGGAAGGCAGAAUGAGGACCUCAUCCAAAACACACUGACUGGGAGGACACUGAUUUCAAAGGACUUUGAAUCAGAAAGAACGAACAUCUGCAUUUGUUUUUCCUUCUGCAGAUUAAUCCUCAGCUCACCAAGGGCUAGAAUAAUUGAUAGGUGGAUAUAAUGUCCUUUCUAUUAUCAUCACUGUAAUGACUUGUAGCUGAACCAUUUUUAAUUUCCAGGGGACAGGUUUGUGUUUUUAAAUAUUCACAAUAAUGUUAUAAGCUUUCUUUAGACUAUGCACAGGUUUUUCGUAGACCUAGUCUCCAAGAGCCUGCCUCAGGGAGCAGAAGCAUGCUGCGAGGCCAGGAGGAGCCCUAGGACACACAGGCGGUGCUUGCAGAAUUCUGCAUUCCAGAAGAAAGGACUCAAUAGGCAAUGCCUACUGGAUGCAUUUGGGCUCAUCCUCUACUAAUGCGAGUCAAUCUAAUCUGUUUUACCCUGGCUGAAGUAACUGAUGAGGUAGGUAAAUUAUGCCAUGCCUUCAGCUACACACACAGCACUAUAGGUUAAAAUAAGGAAAAUAUACUGUAAUCAUAGAUAUUUACCAGAAUAUUGAGAGUAUCCAAAAGAGACUAGAAUGAAUAUAUGUGAAUACAUAUCACUUGUGCAAGAAGAGUCAUUCUUCCCUAGUCGAACUUUUAGAAAACUCUGAA